GAUGAACGCUGGCGGCGUGCCUAAUACAUGCGAGUCGAGCGAACAGACGAGGAGCUUGCUCCUCUGACGUUAGCGGCGGACGGGUGAGUAACACGUGGAUAACCUACCUAUAAGACUGGGAUAACUUCGGGAAACCGGAGCUAAUACCGGAUAAUAUAUUGAACCGCAUGGUUCAAUAGUGAAAGACGGUUUUGCUGUCACUUAUAGAUGGAUCCGCGCCGCAUUAGCUAGUUGGUAAGGUAACGGCUUACCAAGGCAACGAUGCGUAGCCGACCUGAGAGAGUGGUCGGCCACACUGGAACUGAGACACGGUCCAGACUCCUGCGGGAGGCAGCAGUAGGGAAUCUUCCGCAAUGGGCGAAAGCCUGACGGAGCAACGCCGCGUGAGUGAUGAAGGUCUUCGGAUCGUAAAACUCUGUUAUUAGGGAAGAACAAAUGUGUAAGUAACUGUGCACGUCUUGACGGUACCUAAUCAGAAAGCCACGGCUAACUACGUG
rnacentral:rRNA from 1 species